rnacentral:rRNA from 1 species
AACGAACGCUGGCGGCAUGCCUAACACAUGCAAGUCGAACGAGACCUUCGGGUCUAGUGGCGCACGGGUGCGUAACGCGUGGGAAUCUGCCCUUGGGUUCGGAAUAACUCGCCGAAAGGCGUGCUAAUACCGGAUGAUGUCGUAAGACCAAAGAUUUAUCGCCCAGGGAUGAGCCCGCGUAAGAUUAGGUAGUUGGUGAGGUAAGGGCUCACCAAGCCGACGAUCUUUAGCUGGUCUGAGAGGAUGAUCAGCCACACUGGGACUGAGACACGGCCCAG